GGGGAAUAUUGCACAAUGGGGGAAACCCUGAUGCAGCGACGCCGCGUGAGGGAAGAAGGUUUUCGGAUUGUAAACCUCUGUCCUUGGUGACGAAAUUGACGGUAGCCAAGGAGGAAGCCACGGCUAACUACGUGCCAGCAGCCGCGGUAAUACGUAGGUGGCAAGCGUUGUCCGGAAUUACUGGGUGUAAAGGGAGCGUAGGCGGGAAGAUAAGUUGGACGUUUAAUCUAUCGGCUCAACCGAUAGUCGCGUUCAAAACUGUCUUUCUUGAGUGAAGUAGAGGUAAGCGGAAUUCCUAGUGUAGCGGUGAAAUGCGUAAAUAUUAGGAGGAACACCAGUGGCGAAGGCGGCUUACUGGGCUUUAACUGACGCUGAGGCUCGAAAGCGUGGGUAGCAAAC
rnacentral:rRNA from 1 species